GCGGCGGACGGGUGAGUAACACGUGGGUAACCUGCCCAUAAGACUGGGAUAACUCCGGGAAACCGGGGCUAAUACCGGAUAACAUUUUGAACCGCAUGGUUCGAAAUUGAAAGGCGGCUUCGGCUGUCACUUAUGGAUGGACCCGCGUCGCAUUAGCUAGUUGGUGAGGUAACGGCUCACCAAGGCAACGAUGCGUAGCCGACCUGAGAGGGUGAUCGGCCACACUGGGACUGAGACACGGCCCAGACUCCUACGGGAGGCAGCAGUAGGGAAUCUUCCGCAAUGGACGAAAGUCUGACGGAGCAACGCCGCGUGAGUGAUGAAGGCUUUCGGGUCGUAAAACUCUGUUGUUA
rnacentral:rRNA from 1 species